AAAGUGGUACGCUUGUACCAGAAAGGCGCACGACGGCGGACCCUGCCACCCGGUGCGGCAAGU
rnacentral:ncRNA from 1 species